AUUGAAGCGAAGAUUAGGAAGAGUACGUAUGAGAUCGAUGGCAAGAGAGGAAACGGUAGCUGAAAAGUUUCUCCAUCAACCAUGCAGAAGGUAGCCUAGGAGCUGACUUAGUGAACCAACAGUAGCUAGGAUCCGGUUAAACACCGUUAUCGAAUGAAGUGCCGAAAAGCUUAAGGAAAUUAUGCGAGCGCAUGACGAGGAAAUGCUGAAAAGAUGCAUUUGCCAGUCAAGGAACGACGAAGCGAAGCAACGACAAUGAACAAAUAGUUCGUGAGGAUUGCCGAGUGGAGACGAAGAAUGCGAACGAUUGAAUUAAGCCGCUCGGAAAUAAAGGUGGUACCGCGAAUUAACUCCCUCGUCCUUUUU
rnacentral:ncRNA from 1 species